rnacentral:lncRNA from 1 species
ACAUCUGAAAGAGCCUAAUAGCAAGCUGCAGCAUUUUUGCAAUGUGAGAGUGAGGAGCUGAGAUGAAAACCCAAGCUUCCUAGUUCCUAAUCCAGAGCUUGUAGUGUCUUUGUGAUACAGCCUUGCAGAGAGGUUAAAAAAAAAUCCCCAAAUGAAAACUGAUGGCUUAUCUAUUUAAAGUAGAGGCAGCAAAUAACUCAUGAAUUCAUGCCUUUGCUUAUUACGUCCCUUGCAGUGGAGAUGGAUGGAUGAGUCGAUCUAUCUCUGCCUACAUGUCUCUCUGCACUAUGCAAGGAAGAUGAGAUAGGUUGGGGAAAGCAGUGAGGUAUGAUGGAUAGAGGACAUGGCCGAGACUCAGAGAACUGAAGAUAUAGCCCUAGUUCUGCCGACAGAGUGAACUUGAGGAAAAGAAAACAUCAGCACCAGAGCCAAACCUAUUUCUCCGGGGAGAGGAUUCCUGCAGGGGAGGUCUGCUCAUGUUCUGGGGGCUGCCCUCCAUCAUGGCUACCUACCUUCGGAAUGUUUGCUUUCACUGGGCCCUCCUGGAUGGAUUGGCAACUCUUCCCAAGUCAGACCCUGGUAUGCCCUUGUUGGUUUCUAGCAGUUAGCAGGCUGGGCAAGGAGGCGACUGGGAAGAGUCCUCCUCAAUGAACGCAUGCGUGUAAGAGGGAAGGAAUGAACUACGAACAGGAAGUAAAUUUCUUUCCAAGAGAAAAAAGCUGGAAAAAUAAUUGUUCCUCUUGUUUAGAAGAUGACAGCUUUUUUUUUUCUUCAUUAAGCGCCCUUCUCUUCAAAAGACAAAAAAGGUAAGAUUCUCUGGGUCAGAAGCCAGACAGACUUUUUCACAGCUCUGAAAAAGUGAGAACAGCGAAUUCACUUCCCUUCUCCCAAAAGGCAUGUGCCACCGGGUGCUCCUGCUCCCUGCAAGAUCCCUUC